UAGCUGAAUAAGAAUUAAGGUCGUUUUAUGUUUGGCAUAAAACGUUAAAAGGGAAGUUGGUGUAAAUCCAACACGGUCCCGCCACUGUAAUCGGUAGAGCUGUUCAUUCGCCCACUGUUCGAUAUAAGAAUGGGAAGGGGAACUACGCUUGUUUGAUCCGUGAGUCAGGAAACCUGCCUUAAUCGAUUGUGCGUA
rnacentral:ncRNA from 2 species